GAUGAACGCUAGCGGGAGGCCUAACACAUGCAAGCCGAGCGGUAGAGUUUCUUCGGAAACUUGAGAGCGGCGCACGGGUGCGUAACACGUGUGCAACCUACCUUUAUCUGGGGGAUAGCCUUUCGAAAGGAAGAUUAAUACCCCAUAAUAUAAUGAUUGGCAUCAAUUAUUAUUGAAAACUCCGGUGGAUAGAGAUGGGCACGCGCAAGAUUAGAUAGUUGGUGAGGUAACGGCUCACCAAGUCAAUGAUCUUUAGGGGUCCUGAGAGGGAGAUCCCCCACACUGGUACGGAGACACGGACCAGACUCCUACGGGAGGCAGCAGUGAGGAAUAUUGGACAAUGGGUGAGAGCCUGAUCCAGCCAUCCCGCGUGAAGGAUGACGGUCCUAUGGAUUGUAAACUUCUUUUGUACAGGGAUAAACCUACCCUCGUGAGGGUAGCUGAAGGUACUGUACGAAUAAGCACCGGCUAACUCCGUG
rnacentral:rRNA from 1 species